AUUUGGGACCAGAAUGAGUUUGGUGGCACCUCCCACUAACCAAAAAAAGUGCUGGGCAAGGAUGGGUAUCCACAGCAACUGGGAGUUUGUUUGCUGGGCUCGCCUGUGGAUGGGACUUCUCCUGCGCCAUGUCAGUCAGAACAAAGAAAGUGAGCUCACAGCUUGGUGUGCAAGUUUAAAACAGGCUGAAGUACUGAGCAAAAGCUACUGCACAACUUUGUAAACUCUGGAUCUUCCAGAAAAGAUGAUAGAUGGAAAUGUAUGAGAGGAAAACAAAGCCCCAAACCAUAGAGACAUUUAAAACAAAACCCUUCUUUCUGUGUACUUCUUCCUCAUUGUCCAUAAUCACUUCAUGAAACAGCACCCUGGUCAGUUCUGGAAGGAAAGUUCAGCCAUGUCCAUCUUAUAAAUAAAGCAGCCUGCGGUGAAUGAAUGAAAAGACCAAGCACAGCAAAGCAGACUCAGGGAGGAAGAUGAGUCAUGCAGAAUGAGGGCAAGAGAAGGGAUGGACUCACCCCCUCCAGAGCACAGGAUGAAAAACCAAGUGAGGCAGCUGGGAUUAACAGGCACCACCUAACAGCAAUGGUAGUACAGUGGU